UGGACCCGCGUCUGAUUAGCUAGUUGGUAAGGUAACGGCUUACCAAGGCGACGAUCAGUAGCCGACCUGAGAGGGUGAUCGGCCACAUUGGAACUGAGACACGGUCCAAACUCCUACGGGAGGCAGCCGUGGGGAAUAUUGCACAAUGGGCGAAAGCCUGAUGCAGCAACGCCGCGUGAGUGAUGAAGGCCUUCGGGUCGUAAAACUCUGUCCUCAAGGAAGAUAAUGACGGUACUUGAGGAGGAAGCCCCGGCUAACUACGUGCCAGCAGCCGCGGUAAUACGUAGGGGGCUAGCGUUAUCCGGAUU
rnacentral:rRNA from 1 species